UCAACAGUUUAUAAAGAGCAAAAUUGCUGUAAAGUGUGUGCUAUACACGUCAUUCUGAUGGCUUUGUUUGUGUGAUAAUUUUAGUUAUACAAAACAGUAAAAUACCAGUUUGAGAUGAAGAAGUUGAACUCUGACAGCUUACACCAAAACUUGGGACAGAAUGUAUGGAAGAUGGUCCUACAAGAUGGUUUCUGAUCGGCUUUCCAAGCCUCCAGAAUGGAGAGUCUUGUCUAGUUAAUGAAGGCUCAUAGCAGUGUUUCCCAGUGCAGAGCAGUGACUUGUCGGCGCCCCUGGAAGCGGAACAGUGGCUGAGACCCUCUCGCAGUGCUGAAGCUGGCCACCGUGCUCCUGACGGCAGCUCUGCCGAUGCAAGGGCGUCCGCUGAGCUGAGAGGUGCCAGCACGAAAACCUCCCUGUUCGCCGCUGCCUGGGAGAGCGUCUCCGUGCGCUGGGCAGGAAACUGGAAAUGAAGCUCGCUUGAAGCACUGGGAAAACAAUUUACGUCAGGAGAGGCAAUCCGCUGUCUCGCGCGCGCCUCUCCGCGAGUGGCCGGGAGCGUGCUGGAGGCAUCGCGCUUGGGAGCCUCGCGGCAGUAUCCUGCGAAACGUGGCAAGGGACCUGUAAUGAGAUCUGCUGAGUAAUGCACACAAUAACGAAUAAGCGCUGCCCGCUAUGACUGCAGUCCUGCCCAAAAGGGAUCGUUACAACAGCUACACAUCUGCUUGGGCCUGUGUUCGAUGUUGCUGCUGUGACACUUUUUUCUGAAGCCAUGAGGCUGGGGUGACAGCUUCCCAAAUCAGACUCGAAAUCUGUAAGGACAGAGCUGUUGUCCAUUUGAAUGCUGAAGGCAUCUUCUGAAGCAAGGAGACCUAGAGACUAAAGCUGGGCAAAAAGAAUGAAAGUUUGGAAAAAUACUUUGGAAAGCUGGAGUGGUUUUGCAGUGGGAGUAAAGGAGGAGCAUAAACUUCUGAAGUCUCAGCUUGUACUGUUGAGGGAUUAUACGCUUAUUCCUAUUGCUCUGAACACUUUCAUUACUUUUCUAUUGAGC